rnacentral:rRNA from 1 species
CGCUCUUCUUUCCUCGUGGGCAAGAAGCACACCAGCAGCGCGCGUUGCGUGAUUCCACUGUGUUUUUUGCACUUGACUGGGUGGACAGUUGACCGGAAGAUAACCUCAAUUCGCCCGGCCAGCAGGCGGGCGGCGUGCUUAUCUUGUGUGACAACACUACAGAGCGAGUAG